rnacentral:rRNA from 1 species
UCAGGAUGAACGCUAGCGACAGGCUUAACACAUGCAAGUCGAGGGGCAGCAUAAAAGUAGCAAUACUUGGUGGCGACCGGCGCACGGGUGAGUAACGCGUAUGCAACCUACCUAUCAGAGGGGAAUAACCCGGCGAAAGUCGGACUAAUACCGCAUAAAACAGGGGCACCGCAUGGUGAUAUUUGUUAAAGAAAUUCGCUGAUAGAUGGGCAUGCGUUCCAUUAGGUAGUUGGUGAGGUAACGGCUCACCAAGCCGACGAUGGAUAGGGGAACUGAGAGGUUGGUCCCCCACACCGGUACUGAGACACGGACCAGACUCCUACGGGAGGCAGCAGUGAGGAAUAUUGGUCAAUGGGCGGGAGCCUGAACCAGCCAAGUCGCGUGAAGGAAGAAGGAUCUAUGGUUCGUAAACUUCUUUUGCAGGGGAAUAAAGUGCAGGACGUGUCCUGUUUUGUAUGUACCCUGAGAAUAAGGAUCGGCUAACUCCGUGCCAGCCGCGGC